CAAUAGCGUAUAUUAAAGUUGUUGCGGUUAAAAAGCUCGUAGUUGGAUUUCUGCUGAGAACGACCGGUCCGCCCUUUGGGUGUGUAUCUGGCUCUUUCUUGGCAUCUUCUUGGUGAACGUUGCUGCACUUGACUGUGUGGAGCGCUACCCAGGACUUUUACUUUGAGGAAAUUAGAGUGUUUCAAGCAGGCAUACGCCUUGAAUACAUUAGCAUGGAAUAAUAGGAUAGGACCUCGGUUCUAUUUUGUUGGUUUUGAGAGCUGGGGCAGCGAUUGAUAGGGACGGAUGGGGGCGUCCGAACUUUACUGUCAGAGGUGAAAUUCUUAGAUCGGUCAAAGGCGAACUACUGCGAACNCANNNGCCAAGAAUGUUUUCUUNAA
rnacentral:rRNA from 1 species